rnacentral:lncRNA from 1 species
CCCCGCCCGCCCUCGUCCGGCAGCCGCAAGCUCCCGGGCGGGGAGGGGCGGCCCCGGUAAAGGGAGAGACGGCGCUGCCGCCGCUCCGCGCCUUGCUCGGGGCACGGAGCUGAUGAUUAACCUGCGGUUCAUUGAAUACCUACCUGGCUCAAGUCGCGCCCGGGAUGUGGUUUAACCUUGUCCGAGGUUUCGGUACCUCGGGCUUUGCCUUUCUGCCUGAGACCCUGGUGCUGCCAGUUUUGCUGCUACCGAAGCGCUGCGGGGAUGUGCAGCUCCCCGUUGAAAAUCUCUGCUGUUAAUAUCAGCCUAGACUUCACUUUACAGUCGUUUUUAGAGGUUUGAGGCUCCAGAGGUCGAGGUGAUGUGGGACUCUCGGUCUCGGCGAGCAUUUUUGCAGCAGCAGCAGCCUCGGGCUGCAGUAGCUGGCACUUGAAUCCAUGUUGGCUCCUUUUCCUCGGGCGUGAGCUGCAAGGAGCUCAGCAGCUUCGGCAUUUAGUCCCAUUUGGGGAAACGUCUGUCCUUUGUGAGGAUGCCAGUACAGUUAUAGCCACUGACACUAUACAUGACCAGAGGCUCCAGUUUCUGGCAUCUCUUUCUAUUCAAUUUCUUCAGAUUAUCUGUAAAUUUUCAAUAAUGGCAAUACAUUCAUUCUGCCAUUUGGAGGAGCCUGUGCCACAGAAUAAUGAUCUGAAGAAAGCUCACUUAUUUGCAAGGAAGAGUCUUCAUUUGGGAAUUAGCACCGAUGCAGCUAAGAGGUGCUUCCUCAAGUUCAGAACUGUUAUUGUUUCACCUCUGGUACAUGGACAAAACUGGGUUUUCUUCAUAGAUCAGGAUUCCUGGACCUGA